rnacentral:lncRNA from 1 species
CUCUCUUCUAGAUAAUUUAAUACAGUUAUUUUCCUUACAAAUUGAAAAAAAAUUGUCUGCAAAAUCUGGUCACUUAUAAUGAGCAGCACAUAUAUACGCAGUUCUUUGUUCUGAUAAUAACAUGAACAUUUGUUAUUACAUCAGUAGUGAUAUAUCUGUUAUUACAUAAAAAAAAAACUAGAUCGAUAAAAUAUUACACCAAUUUGUUUAUCUUAUAUAUUCAAAACUGGAGCAAGAGCUGAGGACGAGAACUGCAAUGAUCUCUCUUGCGAUCUCUUCACAUAGAAAGAGAAGGAAUCGCCUAAUGACGAAAAUUCCUUCUCAUCUUCGUGGAUCGUAUCCAACACUUUCAACAUGCAAUGCCGUCUCAUGGAAGUGACAAACAGUGGUGGUGCCACUUCAGAAACGUACCUGGCCAUGAGGGAGGUCGCCAUAUGUUUUAUCUUUUCAACUGAAGAAUUAAAAACCAGGUGGAAUUGAACUAAGACUGAAGUGUUGUGAAGUGUUGUGAUUUCAACUGUGUUCUUGUUUGAUACUUAUAGGGGUUCUG